AUUGAACGCUGGCGGCAUGCCUUACACAUGCAAGUCGAACGGCAGCACGGGAGCAAUCCUGGUGGCGAGUGGCGAACGGGUGAGUAAUAUAUCGGAACGUGCCCAGUCGUGGGGAGUAACGUAGCGAAAGCUACGCUAAUACCGCAUACGAUCUAUGGAUGAAAGCGGGGGAGUCGCAAGACCUCGCGCGAUUGGAGCGGCCGAUAUCAGAUUAGGUAGUUGGCGAGGUAAAGGCUCACCAAGCCGACGAUCUGUAGCUGGUCUGAGAGGACGACCAGCCACACUGGGACUGAGACACGGCCCAGACUCCUACGGGAGGCAGCAGUGGGGGAA
rnacentral:rRNA from 1 species